rnacentral:lncRNA from 1 species
UUUAAGAACAUAUACAAAAGGGAGAAUAUUGGUGUAGCCUAGGCAAGGAAUCAAAGGGAGCAAAGAAAAUGGGUUUGGGUCUAGAGAAAUCACUUUGACCAUGUGAGCCUCCAAAUGCUGGCCAUUGAUUCACAACAUUAUCUCAAUUGGACCACUUUUUGCUAUAGGAUUACUUUUGGGUCAAUUUCUGCCUUUUGUUUUUAGGUAGACAAUCAGAUCUCAGUGAUUUUUAAGAAUAAAGACCACCCAAGGGGUAAUUAAUAAAAUAAAUUACUUUAAUUAAUUGGUCCUUUAUUUAUUUAUUUUUAUAAAAAAAUCUUGGUAGGUGAAUUGGCCGAGGCUUUGUUGGGAAAGCAAAGGGAGCACAAAGCUGUCAAAGAUCCCUCCUUUGUUAAUCAUUAAACUUUUGGCUAAUAGUCAUGGGUUUAUACAUUAAUUAAAUCGAUGAAAGCUGUCAUUUUUCUUUUUCACUAGUUGUCGAAAAAAGAGCCCUCACAUUAAUUACAACAUUAAUUUACAAUAAGUCAAUUAAUCACAACUAUGGUUCGCAAGGAGGGAA